UCGCCACGUUCCUUCUCCUUCUUGCCUGGCUUGGAGUGCAGCUUGUGCCACCGCUCCUCGGCCGCCCGGCCCUGCAGCCCCGCAGCCCGCAGCGGUACCCGGGCCAUGCCCAGGAAGCGGUCCAUGCCCACCAGGGCGCGGUGCAUGACGGUGAGCAGCAGCGCGGCCUCAGCCCCGGGCUCGGUGGGCGGCAGCUCGAAGGCGCACUCC
rnacentral:lncRNA from 1 species